rnacentral:tRNA from 1 species
AUCUUUCUAGUACGAAUAUUAGUAUAAGUGGCUUCCAACCACCUGGUUUCGGUGAAAAUCCGAAGAAAGAUA